UUCAUUUCCCAGGACGCUUCAGCUUGUCUGUGUUUUGGGGAUCAUACUUUAAAAACGUAGACAAAUGGAAGGGAGAGUAGAGAAAGGAAACGGAAACACAAGAUUUAAAAGACGAUACAUUAGAAAAGAACGGGAUAAAAAUACACAUAUAAUUGCACAUACACCUGCUUGAGAAAUUCCUAUUUGUCUUCACAAGACGAUUUUGGGAGUCAGACUGGCAAUUUCAGCCCAGGAUUCCUGCAAGAGAACAACAGCCCUUUUCCCCAGGAAAGCAAGCCCUUACCCUCGUGGUCUCAGGUGAGGUUGGUGGGCCACCCUGGGCACUCCACAAGCAGCAAGAGCUUUCUGUCAGAUAACACAGAAGUUUUUUAGGCUCUUCUGUCCCUGUACACCUUCAGCCUUUGUAAGUAAGGUGUUUCACAGCAGGAGUAAGAGAGACCCACAUGGAAAACUUCAUCAGAGACUUAGUCAUGAGAAAGGUGAUAUAAAAACCUCUUCCUAAUCACAGUGGAUUUUGGUAACUCCCGACAUCUUACAGAUUUUGUUACUCUGUAAAGGU